rnacentral:rRNA from 1 species
CCCAGACUCCUACGGGAGGCAGCAGUGAGGAAUAUUGGUCAAUGGCCGUAAGGCUGAACCAGCCAAGUAGCGUGAGGGAAGACUGCCCUAUGGGUUGUAAACCUCUUUUAUGCGGGGAUAAAGGUGUCCACGUGUGGAUGUUUGCAGGUACCGCAUGAAUAAGGACCGGCUAAUUCCGUGCCAGCAGCCGCGGUAAUACGGAGGAUCCGAGCGUUAUCCGGAUUUAUUGGGUUUAAAGGGUGCGUAGGCGGCCUUUUAAGUCAGCGGUGAAAGUCUGUGGCUCAACCAUAGAAUUGCCGUUGAAACUGGGGGGCUUGAGUAUGUUUGAGGCAGGCGGAAUGCGUGGUGUAGCGGUGAAAUGCAUAGAUAUCACGCAGAACUCCGAUUGCGAAGGCAGCAUACCGGCGCUCAACUGACGCUGAAGCACGAAGGCGUGGGUAUCGAACAGGAUUAGAUACCCCAGUAU